rnacentral:rRNA from 1 species
UACGGGGGGGGCAAGCGUUGUUCGGAAUUACGGGGCGUAAAGGGCCAGUAGGCGGCCAACUAAGUCCGACGUGAAAUCCCCAGGCUUAACUUGGGAACUGCGUCGGAUACUGGAUGGCUUGAAUUCGGGAGAGGGAUGCAGAAUUCCAGGUGUAGCGGUGAAAUGCGUAGAUAUUGGGAGGAACACCAGUGGCGAAGGCGGCUCACUGGACCGGAACUGACGCUGAGGCGCGAAAGCGUGGGGAGCAAACAGG